rnacentral:rRNA from 1 species
CGGGUGAGUAAGCGUGGGUAACCUGCCUUGUACAGGGGGAUAACAGUUGGAAACGGCUGCUAAUACCGCAUAAGCGCACAGCAUCGCAUGAUGCAGUGUGAAAAACUCCGGUGGUAUAAGAUGGACCCGCGUUGGAUUAGCUAGUUGGUGAGGUAACGGCCCACCAAGGCGACGAUCCAUAGCCGACCUGAGAGGGUGACCGGCCACAUUGGGACUGAGACACGGCCCAA